rnacentral:rRNA from 1 species
UACGUAGGGGGCAAGCGUUGUCCGGAUUUAUUGGGCGUAAAGAGCGUGUAGGCGGCUAGAUAGGUCCGUUGUGAAAACUCGAGGCUCAACCUCGAGACGCCGAUGGAAACCAUCUAGCUAGAGUCCGGAAGAGGAGAAUGGAAUUCCUGGUGUAGCGGUGAAAUGCGCAGAUAUCAGGAAGAACACCCGUGGCUAAGGCGGUUCUCUAGUACGGUACUGACGCUGAGACGCGAAAGCGUGGGGGAGCGAACAGG